GUCAGAAUGGCAUAGUGGUUUUGAGUGUUGCACUACGACUCUGGAGACCAGGGUUCAAUUCCCUUCCUUGGCC